GCGCCCGUAGCUCAGUGGAUAGAGUGCCGCCCUCCGAAGGCGGAAGCCGCUGGUUCGAAUCCAGCCGGGCGCG
rnacentral:tRNA from 1 species